GACGAACGCUGGCGGCGUGCCUAAUACAUGCAAGUAGAACGCUGAAGGAGGAGCUUGCUUCUCUGGAUGAGUUGCGAACGGGUGAGUAACGCGUAGGUAACCUGCCUGGUAGCGGGGGAUAACUAUUGGAAACGAUAGCUAAUACCGCAUAAGAGUAGAUGUUGCAUGACAUUUGCUUAAAAGGUGCAAUUGCAUCACUACCAGAUGGACCUGCGCUGUAUUAGCUAGUUGGUGGGGUAACGGCUCACCAAGGCGACGAUACAUAGCCGACCUGAGAGGGUGAUCGGCCACACUGGGACUGAGACACGGCCCAGACUCCUACGGGAGGCAGCAGUAGGGAAUCUUCGGCAAUGGACGGAAGUCUGACCGAGCAACGCCGCGUGAGUGAAGAAGGUUUUCGGAUCGUAAAGCUCUGUUGUAAGAGAAGAACGAGUGUGAGAGUGGAAAGUUCACACUGUGACGGUAUCUUACCAGAAAGGGACGGCUAACUACGUG
rnacentral:rRNA from 1 species